GUUAACCUGACCCAUGUUAUAUUACACAAUCUUUAAAAAUGUUCAGAUUCCCAUAUUGCUUCAGCUAUUUUAGACUAGUUUCAGAAAAUAGUUUUUUGGUUCAUGCUUGUCGUUUUCUGUUCCCUUUUGCUAAUGUGAAUUGAAGACAGCUUAGCAUUCUUUUUUUUUUUUUUUUACUAAAUCUGAGGGUCAGACAGGUCUUCAGACA
rnacentral:lncRNA from 10 species